UACGGGGGGGGCAAGCGUUGUUCGGAAUUACUGGGCGUAAAGGGCGCGUAGGCGGCCACCGCAAGUCGGUUGUGAAAUCUCUGGGCUUAACCCAGAAAGGUCAACCGAUACUGCGGGGCUAGAGUGCAGAAGGGGCAACUGGAAUUCUCGGUGUAGCGGUGAAAUGCGUAGAUAUCGAGAGGAACACCUGCGGCGAAGGCGGGUUGCUGGGCUGACACUGACGCUGAAGCGCGAAAGCUAGGGGAGUGAACGGG
rnacentral:rRNA from 1 species